AAAAAGGAUUUAAUCAAAUCCAUGCACAACACAUUUAGAGAGUUUU
rfam:Colius striatus contig91413, whole genome shotgun sequence.